UACUCAGUGGCGGACGGGUGAGUAACACGUGGGAAUCUACCAUUAGAUGGGGAAUAACAGGCCGAAAGGACUGCUAAUGCCGCAUAUGUAUGUGCCUCGACAGGGGCGUAUAUGAAAGGAGUAAUCCGUCUGAUGAUGAGCCCGCGUCCGAUUAGCUAGUUGGUAAGGUAAAAGCUUACCAAGGCGACGAUCGGUAGGUGGUCUGAGAGGAUGAUCACCCACAAUGGGACUGAGACACGGCCCAUACUCCUACGGGAGGCAGCAGUGGGGAAUUUUACGCAAUGGGGGAAACCCUGACGUAGCGACACCGCGUGAGCGAAGAAGCCCUUUGGGGUGUAAAGCUCUGUCAACAGGAACGAAAAAAAUGACGGUACCUGUGGAGGAAGCAUCGGCUAACUACGUGCCAGCAGCCGCGGUAAGACGUAGGAUGCAAGCGUUGUCCGGAUUUAUUGGGCGUAAAGAGUUCGUAGGCGGUUUGUUAAGUCUGAUGUUAAAGACCGGGGCUCAACCUCGGAAAUGCAUUGGAUACUGGCAGACUGGAGUGCAGUAGAGGCUAGUGGAAUUCCCAGUGUAGCGGUGAAAUGCGUAGAUAUUGGGAAGAACACCGGUGGCGUAGGCGACUAGCUGGGCUGUAACUGACGCUGAGGAACGAAAGCCAGGGGAGCAAAUGGGAUUAGAUACCCCAGUAGUCCUGGCCGUAAACGAUGGAUACUAGGCGUAGUGGGUAUCGACCCCUGCUGUGCCGCAGCUAACGCGAUAAGUAUCCCGCCUGAGUAGUACGGCCGCAAGG
rnacentral:rRNA from 1 species